GAGCAUCCUCAUCUCCUCCGGCUACACUCUGACUCUCUUCGCUCGGGACCGACUCUGGGGGAAAGGAAUAAGAAAACCAGGAGCAGUAGUGAGCCAUACCUUCCAGCAGCUGAGGACUGACGUUUACAAACUCCACUUUCUUGCGAAGGUAACGCUGGUUCAGUUUCCAGAUACAUGAGAUGAACGAAUUCUUCUCUGCAGUGCUGCUCGCCACCCACCGA